UGCCUACGGGGGGCUGCAGCUAAGAAUAUUCCGCAAUGGACGAAAGUCUGACGGAGCGACGCCGCGUGGAUGAAGAAGGCCGAAAGGUUGUAAAAUCCUUUUGCUGAUGAAGAAUAAGUGGUGUAGGGAAUGACAUCAUGAUGACAUUAGUCGGUGAAUAAGCCCCGGCUAACUACGUGCCAGCAGCCGCGGUAACACGUAGGGGGCAAGCGUUGUUCGGAAUUAUUGGGCGUAAAGGGCAUGUAGGCGGUCUUGUAAGCCUGGUGUGAAAUCCUGCAGCUUAACUGUAGAAUUGCAUCGGGUACUGCUGGACUUGAAUCACAGAGGGGAAACUAGAAUUCCAGGUGUAGGGGUGGAAUCUGUAGAUAUCUGGAAGAAUACCGGUGGCGAAGGCGGGUUUCUAGCUGAUGAUUGACGCUGAGGUGCGAAAGUGCGGGGAGCAAACAGGAUUAGAUACCCGAGUAGUC
rnacentral:rRNA from 1 species